CCUACGGGAGGCAGCAGUAAGGAAUAUUGGUCAAUGGAGGGAACUCUGAACCAGCCAUGCCGCGUGCAGGAAGACGGCCUACGGGUUGUAAACUGCUUUUGCACGGGAAUAUGUACCGUGAGAAUAAGGAUCGGCUAACUCCGUGCCAGCAGCCGCGGUAAUACGGAGGAUCCGAGCGUUAUCCGGAAUUAUUGGGUUUAAAGGGUGCGCAGGCGGGAUGCUAAGUCAGGGGUGAAAGACGGUGGCUCAACCAUCGCAGUGCCUUUGAUACUGGUGUCCUUGAAUGUACUUGAGGUAGGCGGAAUGUGGCAAGUAGCGGUGAAAUGCAUAGAUAUGCCACAGAACACCGAUUGCGUAGGCAGCUUACUAAGUUGAUUGACGCUGAGGCACGAAAGCGUGGGGAUCGAACAGGAUUAGAUACCCUUGUAGUC
rnacentral:rRNA from 1 species